rnacentral:snoRNA from 1 species
ACCCUCCAGAUUCCAUACCCAUCAGAUAUCAACACUGGUCUGAGUGGCUAUAAAAGGAGGCACAGUAAAACUGAAGUGGACUUGGAUUCUUUUGUAACAAAAUUCGUUUCCAACAAAC